CGGAGGAUGCAAGCGUUAUCCGGAUUUAUUGGGUUUAAAGGGUGCGUAGGCGGAUGAAUAAGUCAGUGGUGAAAGCCUGCAGCUUAACUGUAGAAUUGCCAUUGAUACUGUUUAUCUUGAGUACAGCUGAGGUGGGCGGAAUACGACAUGUAGCGGUGAAAUGCUUAGAUAUGUCAUAGAACACCGAUUGCGAAGGCAGCUCACUAAACUGUCACUGACGCUGAGGCACGAAAGCGUGGGGAGCAAACAGGAUUAGAUACCCUGGUAGUCCACGCCCUAAACUAUGAUCACUCGAUGUUGGCGAUACACUGUCAGCGUCUAAGGGAAACUAUUAAGUGAUCCACCUGGGGAGUACGGUCGCAAGACUG
rnacentral:rRNA from 1 species